rnacentral:rRNA from 1 species
GGGAAUAUUGCACAAUGGGCGGAAGCCUGAUGCAGCGACGCCGCGUGAGGGAUGACGGCCUUCGGGUUGUAAACCUCUUUCAGCACGGAAGAAGCGAAAGUGACGGUACGUGCAGAAGAAGCGCCGGCUAACUACGUGCCAGCAGCCGCGGUAAUACGUAGGGCGCAAGCGUUGUCCGGAAUUAUUGGGCGUAAAGAGCUCGUAGGCGGUUUGUCGCGUCUGCUGUGAAAG